GAUAAACGCUGGCGGCGUGCAUGAGACAUGCAAGUCGAACGAACGAGCUUGCUCGUUAGUGGCGGACGGCUGAGUAACGAGUAGGUGACCUGCCCCGAAGUGGGGGAUAACCGUCCGAAAGGGUGGCAAAUACCGUAUGUGGCGACACUUCCAUUGGUGUCAUCAAAGCCGCGAGGCGCCUCGGGAGGGGCCUGCGUCCGAUUAGCUCGUUGGUGGGGUAAUGGCUCACCAAGGCGACGAUCGGUAGGUGGUCUGAGAGGACGAUCACCCAGACUGGUACUGAGACACGGCCCAUACUCCUACGGGAGGCAGCAGUCGGGAAUUUUGCUCAAUGGGCGCAAGCCUGAAGCAGCAACGCCGCGUGCGGGAUGAAGGCCUUCGGGUUGUAAACCGCUUUUGUCAGGGACGAUGAUGACGGUACCUGACGAAUAGGUCACGGCUAACUACGUGCCAGCAGCCGCGGUAAUAC
rnacentral:rRNA from 1 species